AAAACAGCUCAUACUAAUUUAAUCCGGUCCCAGAUUCCUUGAUGUCAGAAAUAAAAUUCGUACUGCUUUUUGUAGAGAAGGGCUUAGAAUUGUAUUUCUGACUGGGAAAAAUGGGGUUUAUGGGCAGAAACAAAGAAAAGAAUCAGUCAAUUGGAAAGGGGAUUAGAUAUUCAUGUGUUUUUGCUAACAACACUGAGGUCUGCCACACCACAUUCAGAGCCCCAGCAAGGUCUUUGGCAGUUGCUAUGGCCUUGUUUUUGCCAGCAAGUUCUGUUCUAACCAAGUUUAGACAACACUUCUGAUAGCAACAAAAGCGGCUGGUCUGCUUUAGAAACCCCAGUGGAGAUGGAGCUGCUCCAGUGUCAGCCUAAAAGUGUAAUGGGGAGUUUGCCAAAAAAGGCUAGAGUUACAGAAGGAAAACUGAAGUUGUUUGAUGAUGCAGUGCAUCAGAAAUAAGUCAGAGGCCAUCACCCAGGCAAGCAUUUCAGGCUGUCCAGGAAAACACUCAUGGAAGGACUGACCAGCACACAGCUUCCUGUUUCACUGGUUAUUGAGUUCCUGUGCAUUCCCUGUACUCUUAGUGGCACCCUUUGGGAAGAGCUGGACCUCUGAAAAAAUUGUGCUACAUAAUGUAGAAGACAAAGAAAUUCAAACCCAGCUAGAAUCAAAGUACUUAAUGUAGUUGAUCUCUGCUAUGCAUCCUGUUUGCCAGUCUACCUAAUGUCACAUAGCAUCAGAAAUAAAAUCA